GAGUUUGUUUCCGAACUUGAAUAUGUUCAAUUGAACAAAUCAUCUUUAGGUCAUACUUUGCUCCAAGUCCCUAAUUCAGAGGAUGCAGGAGGAACAAAGCGAUAAAAGAGAGUGAACGUGCUGCUGGAAACAAUAUUUUUUAUGGCAAAGUUGGGAUAUUAUGCCUACUCAAAUAACAGACACUUAAGAAAGGUAGCUUGCUCCUAAGAAGAUAAUGCACUAGAAAGGUAUCGGCUGCUCAACUUGUUAAAAAAGUUGGAUGAACAAAGCUUGGACACUGUUAUUGUCUCUAUUCUUUUGUAGAUUUUAGUAAUGUAUUUCCGUUUCUUAAAACUUAUGUACAUCUAAUUAAAUACACUGUAAAUACAUUAUAAUAUCUCUUGAGUUAGAUUAUAUUAAAGAAAAUAUUGUUGA